UGACCUUGGCCUGCGCCGCUUCACUUCCCGAGCAAGCGAUAUCGGGUAAAGUUGGUGUAGCUGUGGUGCGUUUUGGGAAUUUAAUUUCGAUUUCUACAAUUCGUCGCUCAUCUAACCAUGGUCAAGAUGGAUCACGACGAUGGAAAGAAUGAGCCCGAACAUGUGCGAAAAUUAUUUAUUGGUGGCUUGGACUACAGAACCACUGAUGAUUCCCUUAAAAAACAUUUCGAACAAUGGGGUGAAAUUGUCGAUGUUGUAGUUAUGAAAGAUCCAAAGACUAAGCGGUCGCGAGGCUUUGGAUUCAUUACCUACUCUCGUGCUCACAUGGUUGACGAUGCUCAAAAUGCAAGACCUCAUAGAGUAGACGGACGUGUUGUGGAACCAAAACGUGCAGUUCCUCGUCAAGAGAUUGGAAGACCGGAGGCUGGGGCAACAGUCAAGAAGUUGUUUGUUGGCGGACUGAAAGACGACCAUGAAGAAGAAGAUCUUCGUCAGUAUUUCCAAGCGUUUGGAAGUAUUAAUUCUGUCAGCAUUGUCACAGACAAAGAAACUGGGAAGAAACGAGGUUUUGGAUUCGUUGAAUUCGAUGAUUAUGAUCCUGUGGACAAGAUCUGCCUGCAGCGUAACCAUCAAAUCUGUAACAAGCACGUUGAUGUCAAGAAGGCGUUAAGCAAAGCUGAAAUGGCUUCUGCUACUGGUGGCGGUGGCGGUGGGGGUGGCAGAGGAGGCCAAGGAGGUGGACGUGGUCCACGAGGUAGCAAUCAGGGAGGUGGCAACUGGGGAGGCCGAGGUGGCGGUGGUAGCGGAGACUGGAACAAUGGUGGAAACCAAGGUGGAUAUGGAGGAGGUAAUCAAGGCGGAUGGGGAGGCAAUGGACCUUGGGAGAACCAAAAUCAAGGGGGUGGCUGGGGAGGCCAGGGAGGACAAGGAGGCUACAACAGUGGUGGAAACUGGAGCAAUGACAACUUCGGAGGUGGUUACCAACAAGGUUAUGGUGGUGGACCCGUUCGGAACAAUUUUAAUGCUGGUGGCAGACCUGCACCUUAUGGUGGUGGACCAAUGGGUGGCAAUACAGGCGGCGGCGGUGGUGGCGGCGGUGGCAGCGGAGGUGGUGGCGGUGGCUACGGCGGUGGUGGUGGCGGUAACCAAGGAGGAUACGGUGGCAAUCCCGUCGGAGGUGGCAAUAUGGGCGGUGGCGGCGGUGGGAGGAGAUAUUAAACCACCCAAUGAAGUUUGUUGCGACGCUACGCUCCCUCAGAUGGUUUACCAUUUGCCGGCCGGUACAUUGAGCGUGAUCGACGUGUCUACCUGACCUCGGGGUCUCAGUUCUCGCUUGAGACGAUUAACAUUGGCGGGAAGGAAAACUCACAGAAAGCAGAAAAUCCCUGGAAGUGGCUCUCAGCGAGGGUCGGAACGGCAACGCGAGGAUGUGAAGGGGCGCCUCCGAUGUGCGGGAAGUAAGAUAGGUGGGAGAGGUGUGAAAGUUGAAGAUGAGGCCCCGUUGCCGGAAAGAGAAGCGGCCCGUGGAGGAAGGGCAACGCACCCUGCACGGACCCUUCGGGUCUUCGUUCCUGGCCCUGCAGACUCUUUCCGCCCGCGGCUCCGGCGUCCGCGUCAUUCGUCUUCCGGGUGUCGCCGGCGCCCGGUAACCAUCGAUGAUUCGGCACUUCCGGCGUCCGUCUCGGCGACUCCUCGAGCUCGACUUCCGACGAACAGCAAGGUUUCGCAUCGGGGCUUCGAGCGGGCCUCGGACUGCAGGUUUUCGGCAUCUCGCCGUCCCCCUUCGGCUCCAGAUGACCGUAGAGACGCGCGAAGAAUUUCCUGGGCGAAGAUGGCCGCCCAUUUGCUUGCGUUUUCGUAGUCAUGUUUUAUUUAUUUUUUUUUCUUUCUUCUUCACUCGAAAUUAUCGUAUAUCCCGGCGAUUAUUAACGUUUCGUCGAAUCGCGACAUGGACUCGAAUAUCCAUCGAGUACUCAGGGAAAGUGGCGUUUAUAACUCGACUACGUUAAAAUAGUCCUCUAAGUAUGUUGAUUUAGUGACAAGAUUGUGGUCACCUUUCUUCCGCAAAACCCAAAUGUUUGUCGGCACUACGAAUUCAGAAGGUAGGGAACUGCUGGAUUCUCUUAACGAUUACUCGACUGGUCGACACAUCAAAGUCAUCGAUACUUGGUCAAGAAGAAGCUCCGAGUCAAGUGACGAACUGAUGUAAGGAUGAACGAAACCACGCGAAUAUCGGCUUGAGUAAUAGAUUAGAAAAAAUUAAAGUGUUCGAUGAUAAGAUCAAAGAAGUAUUUCGCUAAAGUAAAACGUCGAUCUUCCUCAACCUUGCAUUAAGGCUGGGUGGCAACGAUUUUUCAUAACUUGUUUUGAACAAUCUGUAAUUCCUAAAACCGCACAUGAAUUCUCCAUCACCCGUCUCUAAAAUUCAACUUAUUUAUUUUUUCUAUCUUUUUUCAAAUUUCAACCCUCUUCUUCACCCCCGUCGUAAAGUUCACCGACUUCGAUCACACUUCAUCGGCGCGUUGAAAGUGUCUCGUUAACAAAAAUAUCACAAUCACAGGUUUAAUUAAUACUCCGUUCCUCGUUUCCUAGAGUCUCUCUAUACUUCGAAAUUCACCGCGGCACUUUUCCUGGGAUGCGGGUAUCGCCCAGCCGGACGUGCCAAGCACCUCUGAGACUCCUGACCAUCAUCAUUCAUGCACUCGGCAUACGCCACUCUCAGCUCGAUGCUUAACCCAGCACGGGCCAACGGGGAGGAUCUCGCCCCCUUCCCUUCUCUUCCUUCUGCUGCCGCCGCCGCCGCCCCCUAAUUUCUCGAUUAUGAUCGGCCCGCCCCCACGUGUCGUUUCUUGCCCCCCUCACGUCUGCAUCAAGCCGGCACGCUGGCGCACUCUUACGUAUCGCACAUUUGCCGCGAUGUUGUUGUUUUACCUGCGCUAUAAUUGAUCCGAUACAGACGCUAGGGCCCCAGGGGCGGGGUUGAAAUUUCGAAAUUUGUGUAAAGUGAAGAAAUGAAACUUUGACGAAACAUCAAAGUUUCGACUGGUCCAAAACCCGACGCUCCAAGUUCCAAAAGCGUAAAGUUUCGACAGGGCAAAAUUCCGAAGGAAUAAAAUACCCAAACUACAUAACUCCGACAUGUCAAUGUACCGCAAGUGUGUAAAUGAGAAAAUUGAAAUCUUAAACAUCGAAAUACCGAAUGAUUCAAGAUUUUCAGCUCUGAUAAUUUCUGGCCAGAUGAAAUUUCAACACUUUGAUUUUUCAUCGUUUUGAAUUCUCGAUAUUCUUAGGUUCGGAAUCCUGGUCAUUCUGAUUUUUGAUUUUUCUUGUUUCUUACACCCAUUUGUUGAGCAAACUACGCUGCACGAGCAUAUUUUGAUUUUCCUAAUUUUACUCUAUGGAAACUUUAUUUCUCGAAAUUUUGCCCUACGGAACUUUACUUUUCGGAACUUUGCUCUAUCGUAACUUACAUUUUCGGAAUCUUGCAUUACGGAACUUUGAGUCUUCGGUUUUCCGCCUAUUCGAAACUUUGUUGUUUUGUAAAGGGUCGAUUUCUUUAUCUCAAGUUUCGGAACUUCAACCCCAUCCCAAGCGCGUUAGGCCGGAGACAGGAAAGGUUCAAAUGACUUGAAUAAACUUAUAUUAUUCUUUAUCUAAAAAGAACCGUACAUUAUUAAUUUGUUCUAAACAAAUUUGGAUUGCCUGCAGUAUGGGCAGUGCCAUCUUAUUGACGAGAACUGUGUUUUCGCUGCGUAUUGAACAUUAUUUCAAAUACAGGUCGAGCUGUAUUCAAAUUUUAAAGAUAAACUAUGGUGGUUAUACUAUUUUUCAGAAGAACAAACUUUUAUUCCAGAGCCUCUGAGUUUUUCUUCAAUAGUUUGCACCUGUCGGAGAAAUUCUUCCAAAGCCUGUAAAUUAUUACUCUUUCGAGUGGAUCGCGCUAAUAUUUCAUCAGAACAAUGUAUUGAAUGCAUUCUCUUUGAACUUUGAUAAAAGUACCAUGCGAAAAACAAACAAAUGUAAUUGAAAAGUAAAUAUAAAAUGUAAAAAUAUACGGAUAAUUACCGCCAUCCGCAAUCUCUUAACUUCUCAAUAGUCGAAAGGGGUAUCUCCUUCGAAUAGCAUUUGUUAGGUAUAUAUUGAAAAAAUUGCAAAAAAGAAUAUUAAAAGUAAUAGACAAGAAUAAUUUGCUGUUGAUUUAUCCUCUGAAUUUAAACCUACUUUUUUCUUUGCAAUCACGCCUGUAUUAUUAUUAUUAAUUCUACGCUAAGACAAAAUUACACUUAAUCCACUGGUAUUACUAGUAAUAAGAAUAUUAUUACGCCGCAAAGAAUGAAAACUAUUAGUAGCAAAAGAAGUCAUGUGGUUGUAAUUAGAUUAUAAUGGAUUAUCGAAUGAUUCAAAAAUAUUGUAUUCAACUACUGAGUCAUUGAAAAACAAAAUAAAGCAAUGGAUAGUAGGUUAUGUGUUAGGCAUAAUUAAUUCAAUGCCACGUUAACAUGCAUGAUAUGUAAAAAAUUUUAAAUCGGUGGUCCGUUAUAGGAGAAUGUCUUCCUAUAAGCUGGCUAAUUCAUUGCCGAACUGAAUCGGACGUCUCACACGACUUCUCUGGACAGCUACACGUGGAAAUAUUAAAAAAUGUAUCCUACCAACUGCGUAGAUGUAUAAGCGUAGGUGUAAGCCUACAAUAAGUGUAUUGGAAGACCGGUGAUGCUAAUACGUACGCAACGGGCGCGUUCACGCUUUGCUGAGCAACAAGCAAUCUAUAUAAGUCCAUUCUUUUUCUUCAGUUGUAAUCAUACCGGGUUUUAUCAAGACUCGGUAUCUAGGGGUGGGAAUACACCAAGAGGGCUCCAAAAUUGAUCGGCCAAUGUUUCUUAUUCUCUAUUCAACUUCGACCGCUAAGUCCCGCGCACUAUAAGCAUUACACCCUCAAUACCGCGAUAUUAUACCGACAAUCUGUACAUUGCUAAGAAUUUAGAAAUUUGAGGAAAUCGUGUCAAACAUUACGAAAAAAUUUGUCAGUAUAGAUAGUAAAAAUAUUGUUAAAUGACAUUUUUUGAACGAUUUGAAUUUUUGUACAAAACUGAUUUAUCAACAUACGAAUUCGAAAGUUGUAAAACGAUUUUCCUGCCAAAAUGUUUAUCAUAUGUAAUCUACGAAUUAUUGAAGUUUUAUUUUUCUGUUUCACUUUGGGGAUAUUUAAUAAAAAUUUAUAUAAAACAAA
rnacentral:misc_RNA from 1 species